rnacentral:rRNA from 1 species
GCUGGCGGCGUGCCUAAUACAUGCAAGUAGAACGCUGAAGAGAGGAGCUUGCUCUUCUUGGAUGAGUUGCGAACGGGUGAGUAACGCGUAGGUAACCUGCCUUGUAGCGGGGGAUAACUAUUGGAAACGAUAGCUAAUACCGCAUAACAAUGGAUGACACAUGUCAUUUAUUUGAAAGGGGCAAUUGCUCCACUACAAGAUGGACCUGCGUUGUAUUAGCUAGUAGGUGAGGUAAUGGCUCACCUAGGCGACGAUACAUAGCCGACCUGAGAGGGUGAUCGGCCACACUGGGACUGAGACACGGCCCAGACUCCUACGGGAGGCAGCAGUAGGGAAUCUUCGGCAAUGGGGGCAACCCUGACCGAGCAACGCCGCGUGAGUGAAGAAGGUUUUCGGAUCGUAAAGCUCUGUUGUAAGUCAAGAACGGGUGUGAGAGUGGAAAGUUCACACUGUGACGGUAGCUUACCAGAAAGGGACGGCUAACUACGUGCCAGCAGCCGCGGUAAUACGUAGGUCCCGAGCGUUGUCCGGAUUUAUUGGGCGUAAAGCGAGCGCAGGCGGUUUGAUAAGUCUGAAGUUAAAGGCUGUGGCUCAACCAUAGUUCGCUUUGGAAACUGUCAAACUUGAGUGCAGAAGGGGAGAGUGGAAUUCCAUGUGUAGCGGUGAAAUGCGUAGAUAUAUGGAGGAACACCGGUGGCGAAAGCGGCUCUCUGGUCUGUAACUGACGCUGAGGCUCGAAAGCGUGGGGAGCGAACAGGAUUAGAUACCCUGGUAGUCCACGCCGUAAACGAUGAGUGCUAGGUGUUGGAUCCUUUCCGGGAUUCAGUGCCGCAGCUAACGCAUUAAGCACUCCGCCUGGGGAGUACGACCGCAAGGUUGAAACUCAAAGGAAUUGACGGGGGCCCGCACAAGCGGUGGAGCAUGUGGUUUAAUUCGAAGCAACGCGAAGAACCUUACCAGGUCUUGACAUCCCGAUGCUAUUUCUAGAGAUAGAAAGUUACUUCGGUACAUCGGUGACAGGUGGUGCAUGGUUGUCGUCAGCUCGUGUCGUGAGAUGUUGGGUUAAGUCCCGCAACGAGCGCAACCCCUAUUGUUAGUUGCCAUCAUUCAGUUGGGCACUCUAGCGAGACUGCCGGUAAUAAACCGGAGGAAGGUGGGGAUGACGUCAAAUCAUCAUGCCCCUUAUGACCUGGGCUACACACGUGCUACAAUGGUUGGUACAACGAGUUGCGAGUCGGUGACGGCGAGCUAAUCUCUUAAAGCCAAUCUCAGUUCGGAUUGUAGGCUGCAACUCGCCUACAUGAAGUCGGAAUCGCUAGUAAUCGCGGAUCAGCACGCCGCGGUGAAUACGUUCCCGGGCCUUGUACACACCGCCCGUCACACCACGAGAGUUUGUAACACCCGAAGUCGGUGAGGUAACCUUUUGGAGCC